rnacentral:rRNA from 1 species
GUGAACGCUGGCGGUAGGCCUAACACAUGCAAGUCGAACGGCAGCACAGUAAUAGCUUGCUCUUACGGGUGGCGAGUGGCGGACGGGUGAGGAAUACAUCGGAAUCUACUUUUUCGUGGGGGAUAACGUAGGGAAACUUACGCUCAUACCGCAUCCGACCUACGGGUGAAAGCCGGGGAUCUUCGGACCUUGCGCGAUUGCAUGAGCCGAUGUCGGAUUAGCUAGUUGGCGGGGUAAAGGCCCACCAAGGCGACGAUCCGUAGCUGGUCUGAGAGGAUGAUCAGCCACACUGGAACUGAGACACGGUCCAGACUCCUACGGGAGGCAGCAGUGGGGAAUAUUGGACAAUGGGCGCAAGCCUGAUCCAGCCAUACCGCGUGGGUGAAGAAGGCCUUCGGGUUGUAAAGCCCUUUUGUUGGGAAAGAAAAGCAGCAGGUUAAUACCCCGCUGUUCUGACGGUACCCAAAGAAUAAGCACCGGCUAACUUCGUG